CCUACGGGCGGCAGCAGUGAGGAAUAUUGGUCAAUGGACGAGAGUCUGAACCAGCCAAGUAGCGUGAAGGAUGACUGCCCUAUGGGUUGUAAACUUCUUUUAUAUGGGAAUAAAAUGUUCCACGUGUGGGAUUUUGUAUGUACCAUAUGAAUAAGGAUCGGCUAACUCCGUGCCAGCAGCCGCGGUAAUACGGAGGAUCCGAGCGUUAUCCGGAUUUAUUGGGUUUAAAGGGAGCGUAGGUGGAUUGUUAAGUCAGUUGUGAAAGUGUGCGGCUCAACCGUAAAAUUGCAGUUGAAACUGGCAGUCUUGAGUACAGUAGAGGUGGGCGGAAUUCGUGGUGUAGCGGUGAAAUGCUUAGAUAUCACGAAGAACUCCGAUUGCGAAGGCAGUUCACUGGACUGCAACUGACACUGAGGCUCGAAAGUGUGGGUAUCAAACAGGAUUAGAUACCCGAGUAGUC
rnacentral:rRNA from 1 species